CUGGCUCAGGAUGAACGCUAGCGGCAGGCUUAAUACAUGCAAGUCGAACGGUAGCAGGGCUUCGGCCCUGUGAGAGUGGCGCACGGGUGCGUAACGCGUAUGCAACCUGCCUUCAGUUGGGGGAUAGCCCGGGGAAACCCGGAUUAAUACCGCAUAACACAGGGGCCCCGCAUGGGGAUAUUUGUUAAAGAUUUAUCGACUGAAGAUGGGCAUGCGUCUGAUUAGCUGGUUGGAGAGGUAACGGCUCACCAAGGCAACGAUCAGUAGGGGAUCUGAGAGGAUGACCCCCCACACUGGUACUGAGAUACGGACCAGACUCCUACGGGAGGCAGCAGUAAGGAAUAUUGGACAAUGGGCGCAAGCCUGAUCCAGCCAUGCCGCGUGCAGGAAGACGGCCCUAUGGGUUGUAAACUGCUUUUGUAAGGGAAUAAACCCCCGGACGUGUCCGGGGUUGAAGGUACCUUACGAAUAAGCAUCGGCUAACUCCGUGCCAGCAGCCGCGGUAAUACGGAGGAUGCAAGCGUUAUCCGGAUUUAUUGGGUUUAAAGGGUGCGUAGGCGGCCUGUUAAGUCAGAGGUGAAAGGUUGCGGCUUAACCGCAGAAAUGCCUUUGAUACUGGCGGGCUUGAAUAAAGUUGAGGUAGGCGGAAUGUGGCAAGUAGCGGUGAAAUGCAUAGAGAUGCCACAGAACACCGAUUGCGAAGGCAGCUUACUAAGCUUUGAUUGACGCUGAGGCACGAAAGCGUGGGGAUCAAACAGGAUUAGAUACCCUGGUAGUCCACGCAGUAAACGAUGAGAACUAGCUGUUGGCGAUAGAAUGUCAGCGGCACAGCGAAAGCGUUAAGUUCUCCACCUGGGGAGUACGACCGCAAGGUUGAAACUCAAAGGAAUUGACGGGGGCCCGCACAAGCGGAGGAGCAUGUGGUUUAAUUCGAUGAUACGCGAGGAACCUUACCUGGGCUUGAAAGUGAGUGACCGGCGCUGAAAGGCGCCCUCCCUUCGGGGCACAAAACUAGGUGCUGCAUGGCUGUCGUCAGCUCGUGCCGKGAGGUGUUGGGUUAAGUCCCGCAACGAGCGCAACCCCUAUCAUCAGUUGCCAGCAGGUAAAGCUGGGGACUCUGGUGAGACUGCCUGCGCAAGCAGUGAGGAAGGAGGGGACGACGUCAAGUCAUCAUGGCCCUUACGUCCAGGGCUACACACGUGCUACAAUGGUAGCUACAGAGGGCAGCGACCUUGCAAAAGGGAGCCAAUCUCAAAAAGGCUAUCACAGUUCGGAUUGAGGUCUGCAACUCGACCUCAUGAAGUUGGAUUCGCUAGUAAUCGCGUAUCAGCAAUGACGCGGUGAAUACGUUCCCGGGCCUUGUACACACCGCCCGUCAAGCCAUGGGAGCCGGGGGUACCUGAAGGCCGUUGCCGCAAGGAGCGGCUAAGGGUAAAACUGGUGACUGGGGCUAAGUC
rnacentral:rRNA from 2 species